rnacentral:tRNA from 1 species
GGUGGUGUGGCUCAAGGGGUAGAGUGCCUGCCUAGAAAUCAGGAGGCCCUGAGUUCAAUCCCCAGUAUAGCCA